UUAUAUCGUCCGCGGCCGCGUCGAGAGCGGCGGCGGCGGCGGCCCUCGCUCGCUCCGCCGCCGAACUGCGCGCGCUCGCUGCUGCCGCCGCUGCUGCUCAACAACACACACACACAGGUUUAAUAAUGAGGAGGCAUUUAAGGGAUCUCACCAGUCUGUAGCGAGCCCACCGCGCGCCCACCAGUGCUCUCGAUCCGGACGCGUCCGAGUGCGCUCUCGCGCCGCUUUCGCGCCAAAACGGGACCCCCGCAGUUGCCCCGCCGAGGAGCCCCUGUGCGUGGACCCCGCCGCCAGCUUGUGUGAGUGUUUUGUGCUCUGCGCUCAGUGAUCGUGCACCUUCCUGCGAAUUCCGAUGGAAAUUGUGCCGGGAAAUCACCAACAUGGCGGAGAAGCGCAGCCAAAUUGCCUAUCGAUGUGUGCCGAUUUGCAUUUUCCCAAUUCGCGAACCCUGUGGUGCAGGUGAACCCUGAGACACAGCUGGCGUGGGAUGACACACCGGCCCAUGCAGGUGAGGAAUCUCCAGCUGGAUCUUUCUUGAGUGCUCGAGCCGCCGCGAGUGCGAGUGCAAAAACCACCGCUGCUGCUUUCACCCAAUUGCAAAAGUCAGUCAGUCAGUGUCGGUUAAUGUAUCGCAGUGUGUGCUCCUAGGAUUUGCGUCGCCGUGACAGAGCGGUGGACUUGCGAGAGAGAGCGCGCGACGGCACCGAUUUCCCCCGUUCCCUGAGACCCUAACUUGUGACGAGGUUUCAUCUCACAGGCUAGAAUCUCAGGUAUGGGUGAUUGAAUAAAUGCAUCGGACGGACGCAGCAAUCAAGAAGGUGGCGCCGGACGAGCCAGACUUUUUGAGCAGGAAGUCCAACGGUCCGGCUUGACAGCGAAUAUACAUUUAUCAGCAAGAUUUUUUAAAGGACGUGCGGCGUCUGCCGUUCUCAUUUUGGCAGUGAAUUGCGACGACGAGAGACGUUUCCUGUUGCCGCAGACUCAAAGAUUUUUCCACAAAAAAGUGACAUUUUCAACUAUGCGUGAAUUGUAAAAAAUAAAACUUUUAAAAUAUAAUCCUGUUUUAUGCAUAAGAAACGAACAACAUUUUGGCCAAAUUGCUUCAAAAACAUCAAAAUAUAGCAUUAAUAAAUUUUUAAAGAAUUUAAAAAAUUGUAUUUUAUAGAAGACCUGUAACUUUAAGUUGGCAUUUCCACCAAAUUUAAUUCAUUUAUAUAUUUUUAUUUCUGAGCAAUUUAAGCCAGUUUUUUUUCUUUUUGAGUAUAUCAAUUUUUAUGUACCAGCUAAGAUUGAAGUGCCGAAAAAAGAAAUAAAAUUUCAAACAAUUAUUAUUUAUAAGUUUUUCUUCACGAAUCAUCAAAACAAAAUAUGAAGAAACAGUGACACCUUUGUUAAACAUUCAAUGUUGCUUUAAGAAUAAAUAUGUACAUCUUUUGGCAACAUCAUGCAAUCGCGAUUAGAAAUGGCCCCUUUCUUUCACUUAAAAUUAAAACUUUUCUUCAUCCCUUUUAGGUUGGUUUCCGCAUUUUUCUAAUCUAUAAUAUUUCUAUAGCUCGUCGCUCGUCAUGGUUAUAUUAAUUUCCGACUAUUUUUAGUAUUUUUACUCAAUAUUCAGAAGCAUUCACCGAGCCUUAUUAACAUUUCUCCGUAAAAUCCAUUUUAAAUAGAAAUCUAAAGAAGAAACUGCCGAUUAGCCAAAACUAAUUAAUUUUUAGAUGAGGGUUUUCAUUUUUUUUUUAGUUAAUUGUGCGUACGAUUUUGAAUAAAAUAAAAUAUUUGUCCUGUAUAUGGUGUUCUAGAUGUUUUUAUACAAAAAAUUAUGAGUGU